GGCCAUUCUUCGGGUUCAGAUCCUGCCUCUGAGAGUUCCAUGGGCUCAGCAUCCCACGCUUCCUCUUCCCAGUCUCCCAUCUCCAGCAUGUUCUUAACGACCAGGAAAGCUGCCUUGAAGCAAGCAAAGCAGAUCUUCAUCUGUUCUCCAUGGACAAGCUGGUACAGCCAGGCUCCAUAGAGGCAGGACAUGCCCUUGGCCCCAUGGCGAGCACUGACUGGGGGACACAUGGCCAAGAAGUUUGUCGGCAGCUAAGUGGACAGACACACAGAGGAAGACUUGCUCGAUGGUCUCAGGAGGUCAGGUCAACAGGACAAUAGAUGCUAGAAAUAGGUGGAGAAGAAUGUCACGUCUGGCCUCAAGCAUCAAAAAACUACCACGGUGUCCUUCCUGAGGAACAUAUGGCUUGAUUUCCUGUGUGCUCUGGGACAGCAGGAAGCAAGCUUCACUCCAGAGUUCAGUAAUACUCCAUUAAAAGCAUAUUCCUUUAUCCACUCA